rnacentral:rRNA from 1 species
GAUGAACGCUGGCGGCGUGCCUAAUACAUGCAAGUCGAGCGAACGGACGAGAAGCUUGCUUCUCUGAUGUUAGCGGCGGACGGGUGAGUAACACGUGGAUAACCUACCUAUAAGACUGGGAUAACUUCGUGAAACCGGAGCUAAUACCGGAUGAUAUUUUGAACCGCAUGGUUCAAAAGUUAAAGACGGUCUUGCUGUCACUUAUAGAUGGAUCCGCGCUGCAUUAGCUAGUUGGUAAGGUAACGGCUUACCAAGGCAACGAUGCAUAGCCGACCUGAGAGGGUGAUCGGCCACACUGGAACUGAGACACGGUCCAGAAUCCUACGGGAGGCAGCAGUAGGGAAUCUUCCGCAAUGGGCGAAAGCCUGACGGAGCAACGCCGCGUGAGUGAUGAAGGUCUUCGGAUCGUAAAACUCUGUUAUUAGGGAAGAACAGAUGUGUAAGUAACUGUGCACAUCUUGACGGUACCUAAUCAGAAAGCCACGGCUAACUACGUG